GCGGGUGUAGCUCAGCCCGGUUAGAGCGCCACGCUCAUAACGUGGAUGUCACGAGUUCAAAUCUCGCCACCCGCA
rnacentral:tRNA from 1 species